rfam:Xenopus tropicalis strain Nigerian Chr06_contig_3190, whole genome shotgun sequence.
GGCUCUGUGGCGCAAUGGAUAGCGCAUUGGACUUCUAGAUAAAUAAAGGUAUUCAAAGGUUGUGGGUUCGAGUCCCACCAGAGUCG